rnacentral:rRNA from 1 species
GGAGAGUGGCGCACGGGUGAGUAACGCGUGGGGACCUACCUCUUAGUGGGGGAUAACGGUUGGAAACGACCGCUAAUACCGCAUACGCCCUUCGGGGGAAAGAUUUAUCGCUAAGAGAUGGACCCGCGUUGGAUUAGAUAGUUGGUGAGGUAACGGCUCACCAAGUCAGCGAUCCAUAGCUGGUUUGAGAGGAUGAUCAGCCACACUGGGACUGAGACACGGCCCAGACUCCUACGGGAGGCAGCAGUGGGGAAUAUUGGACAAUGGGGGCAACCCUGAUCCAGCCAUGCCGCGUGAGUGAAGAAGGCCUUCGGGUUGUAAAGCUCUUUCAGAUGCGAAGAUGAUGACGGUAACAUCAGAAGAAGCCCCGGCUAAUUUCGUGCCAGCAGCCGCGGUAAUACGAAAGGGGCUAGCGUUGUUCGGAUUUACUGGGCGUAAAGGGCACGC